rnacentral:misc_RNA from 1 species
AUUUAACCCAUGGCUAAAAUUCAGAUAAAUUAUUGUUUGAACAAUUAUGUUUGGCUACGUUACAUCAGAGCUCAAAAAUAAAAUAAAAUAAAAUAAAGUGAAGAAUCCCCAGGUUCUAGUUGAGCUCUCGAAAUGGUGAUCUAUCAAGGCCAAGAACAGCCUGAAAUUUCUUUGUUGUGGGUGAAGGAUUGGUAUUCUCAAUCUCUUCCACAGACUUGAAAAUUUAAUCAUCAUUAAGAGACUGCACUAUCCUGUCCGAGGUUCGAACCAGUUGCACAUCUUCGUUGGAGAACUGACUGAUCUUGUCGUUAAGUGCCCCAAUAAAAACCCAAUAAAUUAUCCAUUUGAUUCAUUAAUUUCUUCACUUCCACCUAUUUUGCUUCAAGUGCAGCUUCAAUCUCCAGUUUCUGUUGCAUAGAACAGAUGUCAUCGUCCAGCUCCAUAAUCAUCAACUUCUUUUCUUCAAUUUCCAUGUCUUUUUCUCUCAUGGUUCAGAGAAAACCCUCUUUCUCUGACUCAAAGGACAUGGCUGCCUCCAUUCUAGCUUUUGACUCUCUUGUUUUGAGCUCUUGCUUAAAGGCUUCUCCAACUUCUACUUGUGCUAGAAGUGAAGCUUCUAAUUCUUUACACAUUGCCUGAUUUUUCUUCAAGGUCAUCGUUUAAGCGUUGAGCAAUAGAUUUCCAUAUCCACAAUUCGAAUUCAACUGAAUGUCCUUUACAAAAACAUAGAUCAAGAACAAAAAAUUAAUGUAUUUAUGGCAGAGACUGAUGGUCUUAAAGGGCUUCUAUCAGCUUCACAGGUGAAAUGCUUGGAAUCAGAGAAAAAGGCCAAAGCAUUCAAAGAACUAAGAGAAAGAGAUGAUAUGCUUGUCAAAUUAGAGGACGAGAAUAGGUCACUUGAAGGUAAUUAAAAUGGAAGCAAGAGCAGUUUAAAUAUCUAGAAGAAGUACAUGAAAAGGCAAGGAGUGGGAGCUGGAGAAGUCUGCAUUUAUUGAUGAGAUUUGUUCACUGCAGACAAGCUUAGAUUCUCAGACCAAAAUCUCAUAAGAUCUUCAAAAUGGGUUAAAGAUGUGCAACCAAGUGCUAGCUCAUGAAGAAAGAAGGAGAAAGAUUCUAAAAAUUGAAAUUUGUGAAUCUAAAGCAUGCUUUGAGAAUGUUUUCACCCAGUUCCAAGAUGCAAAGUCACAAACAGACUGCUUCUCUACUCAGAGGGACAAAGAAAUUGCAGCUCUGAGACAUUCAUUGGGCACAAAAGAGACGUUUUACAAAGAAAUUGAGUACCGAGCUAGGAAACUAGAGCAAGAAAAUCAAGAUUUGCUGGCAUCCCUUAAAGAACUCCAGGAUGCUAAGAUUCAGGAAGUGGGAAAUUCUUCUUCUUUGGCAAAACUGCAAAACAAGCUCAAAAGAGCGGAGCAGAUGCACCAAGAUUGUCCUGCAAAUAUUGGAGCCAAAGAAGCGGAGUGGAGCUCUAAGCUAGAAAAAUUGAAUCAAGAGCUGAAUAAUUAUAAGUCUGCACUAGAGAGCAAAGAAACAACAGCAAAAGAGCUAGAGAUGGAGUUGGAAAAUUGUCACUCUGUAAUAAUGCUGCUGGAAUUGCGGAAUGAGGAGCCAUCAGUAAUGUUGCUAGUCUUGAAAUCAGAACUUACUGAGGCUCAAUUGAAACAUAAAAAUGCUAAGGCCGAGAUGAAUCUCCAUGACAAAGAAAGAGAUGAAAAUGUUUCUCUCUUGAUAAGGCAGCUGGAGAUGAAGAACACUGCUCUGGAUAAAUCACUCGAAGAUAACAAUGAAGAACAUCGGAAGCUGCUACUUUAUUGGAGAGAGUUGAAUCUUUGGAACUUGUUGAAGAACAACAACUCCUGACACAGAAAGAGCUUGAAAGGUGCAAGGAAACGCUUCAAGAAUCUUCCAGUUCUCAACUUCAUUUUAAGGAGCAAGCUUUGCAGACAGAGAAGGAACUCAAAGAGAAAAUUAGAGAACUUUGUGAUGCCUUAGACAUAGCAAAUUCAGAAUUGGCCACAUAAGGUAGGAAGGCAGCUUCUUUGUCAAUGAAUACUAUUGAGGAAAACUGGAAUUUGAUGGAGAAAGAGCUUCAGCAGUACAAAGAAAUGGUUGAGGAAUUUAUCCAGGCAACAACUUUGCUUAGAAGAGCAAGCUUGGGACAUGGAAACUGACUUUAAAGAGAAACUUAGAGAAGUUUGUGAUGCAUUGGACACUACAAAUUGUGAAUUACGAGAAGAGAGUGAGAAGGCAGAAGAACAGCAGAAUCUGCUACAGAAAGAACUUGAGAGCUAUAAACAAAUGAUUGAGGAAUCAUCCAAGUGCCAAAAUCACUUACAGAAGCAAGUUCUGCAGAAAGAAAUUGACUCUCAAUAGAAACUUCAAGAAGUUUGUGCUGCCUUAGACACAGCAAAUUGGGAACUGGCAUUGAUAUUUGCCUCAUCUAGAGCCAACAACAACCCACAUCUUUCCUCCUCCCAUUUCCAAUGCUUGUCUUCACAAUCAACUCUAAGCUUAUCAUUUGAGGAGCUCAGACAUCUGAUGGUGGCCUUUUCAUUCACACUGCAUUGAAGAUCUUCAUGCAUUUGUCUUACUACAGUAAUCUCCUCAGCCUUUUCAAUGAGAUCUUGGGUCUGCUUCUUAAUUUUAGAAUUUGCUUGUUGAAUUUGAAUGAUUUGCUCGUGGUGAGCUUUCUUCAAAUUUUCCAACAGCUCUGCUUUGCAUAUUAAGUCUACCUGAGCUUCUCAAUCUCAGGUUUAGCUUCAUCUAGCUCUUCACAGAUGCUAUCCAUUUUCCUGUUAACGGAUUUACAAAUACGCCAUGUAAAAGGAGUAGUUAUUUCUUGGUUCCCUUGUCGAAG